rnacentral:pre_miRNA from 1 species
AGAUUUGUAUAAUCCAUACAAUCAUUUUUAUAAGAAACAAUUAAUAAUAUAAAAUAUAUUAUCAUUUGUUUCUUAUAAAAAGGACCAAUCAAAAAU